rnacentral:rRNA from 1 species
UACGUAGGGUGCAAGCGUUACUCGGAAUUACUGGGCGUAAAGGGCUCGUAGGUGGCCAACUAAGUCAGACGUGAAAUCCCUCAGCUUAACUGGGGAACUGCGUCUGAUACUGGAUGGCUUGAGUUUGGGAGAGGGAUGCGGAAUUCCAGGUGUAGCGGUGAAAUGCGUAGAUAUCUGGAGGAACACCCGUGGCGAAGGCGGCUCUCUGGGACGGUACUGACGCUGAGACGCGAAAGCGUGGGGAGCGAACAGG